rnacentral:rRNA from 1 species
GAUGAACGCUCGCGGGAGGCCUAACACAUGCAAGCCGAGCGGGAUUUGUUGGUUAGCUUGCUAACUAACAAUGAGAGCGGCGUACGGGUGCGUAGCACGUGUGCAACCUGCCUUUAUCUGGGGGAUAGCCUUUCGAAAGGAAGAUUAAUACCCCAUAACAUAUUGAUUGGCAUCAGUUAAUAUUGAAAGCUCCGGCGGAUAGAGAUGGGCACGCGUAAGAUUAGCUAGUUGGUGAGGUAACGGCUCACCAAGGCUGCGAUCUUUAGGGGGCCUGAGAGGGUGAUCCCCCACACUGGUACUGAGACACGGACCAGACUCCUACGGGAGGCAGCAGUGAGGAAUAUUGGACAAUGGGUGAGAGCCUGAUCCAGCCAUCCCGCGUGAAGGACUAAGGACCUAUGGUUUGUAAACUUCUUUUAUACAGGGAUAAACCUACUCUCGUGAGGGUAGCUGAAGGUACUGUAUGAAUAAGCACCGGCUAACUCCGUG